GUAAGCCGCAGGAAGCCCAGCCCUCCAGCUUCCCAAGGUGCUUCCUGCAGAUAAGGGAGACUCCUGGGCCCCUUCCUGCUCCCUGCUCCCAGCCCCCUCCUCCCAUCCUGUCUCCACACCAGGGGAUCCUCAACUGCAGCACUCAGGCCACACCAGUAGCCUUGGGAGGGGCCUGCUAGGGCUUCACUUCCCUGUCAGGGAGGGUCCAUCCAGGCUGGAGGGCAGGCAGACCCACAGACAGCGCUGGAGUCGCAGCUCGGCCGGUCACUGGUGUCCUGGGGAGGUAGAGCUUUCCUCAGAGGGCAGCGGAGAGGAGCAGGGAGCCCGUGGUCCCGGGGAAGAGAUCCCUCCUCUGGCGGGAGGCAGAGGGCUUCCAGCCAGGCUGUUCCUGAAGGUGAUCCAGUGGGUGCGUCAGGGGCUCCAAGACCCUCUGCCGUCCCUCGCCCGGUGGUCCGCGACGCUCGCCCGCAGCGGAAGCGCGGCGUGGCCCUCGCCGCUCAGUCACUCCCCCGCGAGGGC